AAAAAAAAUUAAAAAAAAAAAAAAAAAAGAAUCCAUCCAUCAGUAUCAAAGCAGUGAACUGUUACAAGAGAAGAGAAGCAACGCAAAACACCAUCACCAACACAUAAAUAUCCUUGCGGAGUAUGAAGAGUCCUUAAAAGUCUAUUCCACUGCAGAUCAUUGACCCCCAUUUAUCCUUUUAUGAGUUUUCUCUAAUUGAUUGUAGCUGGGAAAAGGAAAUCCGGAUUAUUGACCCAGCAAGUGAACUUGCAUGCUUGCACACAACAGCUUCAGUGGCUUGCUCCUCAGUUUCAAACAGAACAAGGGCCUGCUUCUUGCCAUUCAUCUCAAAGAGUUUGGUAUUGACGAUGGUGCCAUGCUCCUCUAAAUGGCUCACUAUCUCCUCUUCGGAAAUGUCCUGAGGUAGAGUGGAAAGGUGGAUCAUCUUUGUUGGCGAGCAGCAGUACCUGUAGUUCUUUGCAGCGUUACGGUUAAAGCGGUUGAGAUUGGAGUUGACGUACUCAUGAGUGUCAGCACCUUGAGUUAUGUUUGGAUGCUUUGAAA
rnacentral:misc_RNA from 1 species